rnacentral:rRNA from 1 species
GAUGAACGCUGGCGGCGUGCCUAAUACAUGCAAGUCGAGCGAACGGACGAGAAGCUUGCUUUUCUGAUGUUAGCGGCGGACGGAUGAGUAACACGUGGAUAACCUACCUAUAAGACUGGGAUAACUUCGUGAAACCGGUACUGAUACCGGAUAAUAUUUUGAACCGCAUGGUUCAAAAGUGAAAGACGGUCUUGCUGUCACUUAUAGAUGGAUCCGCGCUGCAUUAGCUAGUUGGUAAGGUAACGGCUUACCAAGGCAACGAUGCAUAGCCGACCUGAGAGGGGGAUGGGCGACAGAGGAAGUGAGACACGGCACAGAGUCUGACGGGAGGCAGCAGUAGGGACUCGUCCGCAAUGGGCGGAAGCCUGACGGAGGAACGGCGGGCGAGUGAUGAAGGGCUUCGGGCCGUAAAACUGUGUUAUGAUUGAAGAACAUAUUCGGAAGGAACGGUGCAUAUGGUGACGGUACCUGAUGAGAAAGCCACGGCUAACUACGUG